UGUUGUUGCUGUUGUGGGAGCUGUGCCUGCGCAUAAAUAUAAACAACAGCGCGAAAAUUUGCAAGCGUGCGGCUUUUCAUAAGCUUGUUUACCCUUCACACACACAGGCACACGCACAACGGGGCGUAUGAGUAAUGGGACUGAAGAAACCGACUAGCAGCCCGAAGCGAACCAACACCUGCCACACUGCCACAGAUAAUUGUCUCAAAACAUGAAGCUCUGAUCGAGUAGAUAUUGUUAAGAAGUAUACUGUUAAAGGUAUAAUAAAGUUGUGUAAGAAUUUAUGCAAACAAGAAAUUAAAAAUGAUGUGCACCGAAACGCAGAUCAAGUUCUUUUCUUUGAAGUCGAUUUUUAUCGGGAUGCCUUACCUGUGAAAUAUAAUUUCUUAAGGAACAGAUUUGUUCUCCGUCUUCUUUCUCCAACUGCCGCCCAGCAUAUUUUAUAACGAGCUGACAAUAAAUUUGAAGUGAAUCCCAUCUGGAAAUUGUGACUUCA